rnacentral:rRNA from 1 species
GAUGAACGCUGGCGGCGUGCCUAAUACAUGCAAGUCGAGCGAACAGACGAGGAGCUUGCUCCUCUGACGUAAGCGGCGGACGGGUGAGUAACACGUGGAUAACCUACCUAUAAGACUGGGAUAACUUCGGGAAACCGGAGCUAAUACCGGAUAAUAUAUUGAACCGCAUGGUUCAAUAGUGAAAGACGGUUUUGCUGUCACUUAUAGAUGGAUCCGCGCCGCAUUAGCUAGUUGGUAAGGUAACGGCUUACCAAGGCAACGAUGCGUAGCCGACCUGAGAGGGUGAUCGGCCACACUGGAACUGAGACACGGUCCAGACUCCUACGGGAGGCAGCAGUAGGGAAUCUUCCGCAAUGGGCGAAAGCUUGACGGAGCAAAGCCGCGUGAGUGAUGAAGGUCUUCGGAUCGUAAAACUCUGUUAUUAGGGAAGAACAAAUGUGUAAGUAACUAUGCACGUCUUGACGGUACCUAAUCAGAAAGCCACGGCUAACUACGUG